rnacentral:rRNA from 1 species
AGCGAACGCUGGCGGCAGGCCUAACACAUGCAAGUCGAACGAGUGGCGGACGGGUGAGUAACACGUGGGAACGUGCCUUUAGGUUCGGAAUAACUCAGGGAAACUUGUUCUAAUACCGAAUCCUUUAGAGCGGCCCGCGUCUGAUUCGCUAGUUGGUGGGGUAAAGGCUCACCAAGGCGACGAUCCCUAGCUGGUCUGAGAGGAUGACCAGCCACACUGGAACUGAGACACGGUCCAGACUCCUACGGGAGGCAGCAGUGGGGAAUAGUGCACAAUGGGCGCAAGCCUGAUGCAGCCAUGCCGCGUGUAUGAAGAAGGCCUUCGGGUUGUAAAGUACUUUCAGCGGGGAGGCGUUACCCGCAGAAGAAGCACCGGCUAACUCCGUGCCAGCAGCCGCGGUAAUUC